rnacentral:rRNA from 1 species
GGAUCAUGGCUCAGGAUGAACGCUAGCUACAGGCUUAACACAUGCAAGUCGAGGGGAAACGACAUCGAAAGCUUGCUUUUGAUGGGCGUCGACCGGCGCACGGGUGAGUAACGUCGUAUCCAACCUGCCUACCACUUGGGGAUAACCUUGCGAAAGUAAGACUAAUACCCAAUGACAUCCCACGAAGACAUCUGAAUGGGAUUAAAGAUUUAUCGGUGAUGGAUGGGGAUGCGU